rnacentral:lncRNA from 1 species
GGAAAGUGUGUAUUUAGGGUCAAGAAAGCGGGGAAGGGGGAGGUCAAGAACGUCGCAUAUGAAUUCAUCUACUGCGUGGAAGAUGCGUGGCAUUAAUGGCGAUUUGGGAGUUUGAUUUGGUAGCUUCUUUGUGAGGUGCUCAAAAAUAUUGGUAGAAGAAGAUUUUGCGGUGAUGAUAUUAAUAGGCGUAUUUGAUGAGUUGAUCUCAUUGAUCUUCCUAAAUGAAGGACCAUUUCUUGGAAUGAAAGAGGAAUGCAAUCCUAAAGUUGUCAUCUUAAUCUGGAAAGAGAAUUAAUGCCGAUGGAGAUGAUGAGUUCUAAAUUUUAUGAAGCAGUGCGGCCUCUAUAUUAAAC